rnacentral:lncRNA from 1 species
GAUUCCUGGAGGGAGAGGGGAACGGACAGCAAACAAUAGACACAAUACGAUCGUGAGGUAUAUAGUUAAUGUUGGUGAUGAGUGCUCCUCAAAGGAAACAACUAAAACCAGACAAGGGAAGUCGGGGUGUCAGGGAGAAUGGUUUGUAGUAUUGAUGACAAUGGUUAAGGAAGGCCUGAGUUCUGCAAAGACCUCAAGGAUAUGAGGGACUAGAGUGCCCUCUGCUGUGGAAGAGCCUGCGCAAAGAUCCUGAGGUGGGAGGGGUCAGGGAGCCAACUCAUUUUACGGUAAGUGGAGGUGGGAUCCAGGGGAGGAUUCUGAGCAGAGGAGGGACGUGGCCCAAUUUGGGCUUUGAAAGGAUCCUGCUUGUCUGUGUGCCAGCAUCCUGGUGGUGGUUGGGGGAGUCUGCAUCAAUCCUGGGUGCUGUUACCUGAAAAAAUAGCAGGUGUUAGACGAAAGAACAGAUGUCUGGCCCAUUGUCUCCAGUCUGUUCCUGUCCACAGCUUCCCUUUAUGCUGAGCCCCUGCCACAUGCAUCAUCAUCCUGGCCAUGUGGCAUUGUCACAGACCGUCUCUCCUGCUAGCCUCCUAACUCAGGGCCUGGGUCUUCCCCAGCAUUAAGUAAAUCAGUCUCAGGCAGACAGCCCUUUAUAGGUGUUUGGGCCAGGUGCGGUGGCUCACGCCUGUAAUCCCAGCUCUUUGUGGGGCCGAGGUCUUUGAGCUCAGGAGUUCAAGACCAGCCUGGGCAGCAUGACAAAACCCUGUCUCUACCAAAAAUACAAAAAUUAGCCACGCAUGGUGGCACACACCUGUGGUCCCAGCUACUCGGGAGGCUGAGGUGGGAGGAUCGCUGGAGCCUGGGAAGUUGAGGCUGCAGUGAGCCGUGAUCAUGCCACUGCAUUCCAGCCUGUGUGAUGGAGAGAGACCCUGUCUCAAAAAAAAUAAA